UUUAAACCUCUUCCAGAGUAUCAAUUGGAGGGCAAGUCUGGUGCCAGCAGCCGCGGUAAUUCCAGCUCCAAUAGCGUAUAUUAAAAUUGUUGCAGUUAAAAAGCUCGUAGUUGAAUUUCUGCUGCAUUGCUUGUGUCCCUCUGGGGUCUGUGCAUGUGGCUUUUUUCGGACGGAGUUUCUUUGUCUGAAUGUUUACUUUGAGAAAAUUAGAGUGCUCAAAGCAGGCUUUCGCCUUGAAUAGUUUAGCAUGGAAUAAUAAAGUAGGACUUUGGUUCUAUUUUGUUGGUUUUAGGUACCAAAGUAAUGGUUAAUAGGAACAGUUGGGGGCAUUCGUAUUUAACUGUCAGAGGUGAAAUUCUUAGAUUUGUUAAAGACGAACUACUGCGAAAGCAUUUGCCAAGGAUGUUUUCAUUAAUCAAGAACGAAAGUUAGGGGAUCGAAGACGAUCAGAUACCGUCGUAGUCCUAACCAUAAACUAUGCCGACUAGAGAUUGGAGGUCGUCAGUUUUUAUGACUCCUUCAGCACCUUGAGAGAAAUCAAAGACUUGGGGUUCUGGGGGGAGUAUGGUCGCAAGGCUGAA
rnacentral:rRNA from 1 species